GAUGAACGCUGGCGGCGUGCCUAAUACAUGCAAGUCGAGCGAAUGGAUUAAGAGCUUGCUCUUAUGAAGUUAGCGGCGGACGGGUGAGUAACACGUGGGUAACCUGCCCAUAAGACUGGGAUAACUCCGGGAAACCGGGGCUAAUACCGGAUAACAUUUUGAACCGCAUGGUUCGAGAUUGAAAGGCGGCUUCGGCUGUCACUUAUGGAUGGACCCGCGUCGCAUUAGCUAGUUGGUGAGGUAACGGCGCACCAAGGCAACGAUGCGUAGCCGACCUGAGCGAGGGAUCGGCCACACUUGGACUGAGACACGGCCAAGACUCCUACGGGAAGCGGCAGUAGGGAAUCUUCCGCAAGGGACGAAAGUCUAACGGAGCAACGCCGCGUGAGUGAUGAAGGCUUUCGGGUCGUUAAACUCUGUUGUUAGGGAAGAACAAGUGCUAGUUGAAUAAGCUGGCACCUUGACGGUACCUAACCAGAAAGCCACGGCUAACUACGUGCCAGCCGCCGCGGUAA
rnacentral:rRNA from 1 species